CCCCCACCUAUUAUUACUGUUGGUACGUUCCACUUUUAUCAUCCCGCCUUCUUCAGUUAGGAUGGCCACGCCCCUAACCCCCGCUUUUGCCUGCACCACGGUGAAAUGCAUUGUGGGAAACUCCCUAGCUCGUUCCUACAGAGCAUCAGUUAAGGACCAAACAAGGAGGUAAUGCAUUGAAAUAUUUAUAUACAUUUAUAUAUCCAAAUAGUGUAAUAAUGGAAAUUAUGAUUAAUAAUGUCAUAUUAUAGAGAACAAAAACCCAAUAUUACUAUUAAUAUUUGCAAUGCUACCAUUUUAUGUCUGUUUAUACUGCCCCAAUAUCAUUAUUAUCAUUUAUAUUUAGGUAUGGGGAUAUAAAAUUAAAUUAUCAAUAGGAAACAUUGGGACUUUGCAUUAUCACUGCAGAGUUUCUAAUUCAGAUUUAUGCAUUGUUAAAUAUUUGCUCCCUUAUUAGGUCUAAACUUACAAAGGUCAGUUAAUACAGGCACAAUAACAGGAUUGUUGGCUCAGUUACAAUAAGACAUUAUUGUGCAGGUAAUUAUGUAAUUCUAAUAUUUCUUGUUCUGAUACCCUAGUAUAAAUGUAAUAUUUAGCUAUUAUUAGCAGUUCAAUUUCAAUGACAAGCCAUGAAAACAUAUUAAAUGUAUAUAUUUUAUGCAAUAAUAAUAAUUAUUAUAAUUAUUAUGGCUUUUGUUUUAAGUUGGGGGCAUAUUAUAAUACUAUGCUUCAGUGCUUGAUUAUUUAUUAACUACAAAAUAAAUUAGGAGGGCUGAUACACUAUGCUUUGUAGAUGGAAUUAACUGGUGAUCUACAAAAUGUAGGCCAAGCUAUUAGUUUUGAGGAAACCUUUUAAUUUCAAGGAGUUUUGAUGAAAAGCCCCUUUAAAGUUUAUCAAUGGGUGGGAUGCUUCAAUAUCCAUAGUCCUGAGCAGCUGUUUACAUAAAUCCUGUCUUUUUGUGCUUUGCACAGAAUUGAUAUUACAAAUGCAGGGUAAAUCCCAGGAGCCAAGUUACAUUUUUUUUUAGUUAUGCCCUUCUCUGGAAUUGUAGAGAAAAGCAUAUUUUAGCCCAAAUGAGCCAAGCCAGAAAAAUAUAGCAGACCUGGAGAAUCCUUUCAUUUUUUUAGUUUAUAAUUCCCUUUGACAGUUAUUCACAAUUACUAGUUCGGUGAAUAAACCCCACAUAUCUUGUAAAUUUGUGAAAAAAAAGCUAUCUUAGCAUCAUGGGAGAUGUAGUUCAUUAACAUUUGGAGUGCCAAGGCUAGCCACUACAGAGUUAAAUUGCAAUAUCAUACAUGAUGCCAGAUGAUAGGAGGAAGGGCACUGGCAGAGGUGACUUACUGCGGUAGCUGCAGUUUAGAGAUGGCUGCAUAAUAUUAACCCAGUCAUAGCCAAAAGUUUCAGAAUACAUUGUAUAUUAGUAAAAUUUAGGUUUUUUUCUUGAUUCACAUAUACGUUUUGAGUCAUAUCUGUCUAUAGACAUCUGUACAUUAAGUGAUGGACAUUUGGCAAGGAGUCAAGGCUGCAUUUUAGAAGAAAUUAUUUAAGGCUGAGUGUGCAGGACAAGGCCAGUAGGAGCUAGACAAAUGACAGGCCUAUCGGUGGUGUGUAACUUUCAAUGCAUAUAUGCAUCCUUCUCUGUAAUCUAAUUACUAUCCCUUAAUCUCUGACUAUGAACCCCUACCCAUAUUAAUAUACAGAGCUCCUUCUUUAUGUCAUUUACAAAAAUUAUAACUUGUCCAAUACUUCUCUAUUUAAUAAAUCAUUUUGUUUGAUAAGGAAAUUGGAUUGAUUAGACAUGCACAUGUUUAGUCUGCAUGCAAUGCAGUUGGAAGAUAUUACCCAUAAUGCAGAAAGAUACAUCCUAAUUAGCUUGUGAUUUACUGACAGGGGCAUUUGUUUUGCAUAUUUAUAUAGAGGUUGACCCAUCCAGUAAAACUUUAUAUAGCUGGCACCAUAUGUAAUGUAAGCUCUGGCUGGAUUUAAUGAGUUAAUUCCCUUGCUAGCACUCCACACAAAAGUACAUUUAUAGAAAUUAUAAAAGCCCUUGAUGGAACCCAAGGGAGCCUAAGUCAGAGUAUGUGCUUUGGGACUUUGGUUAAUGUGCCACAUAAAAUAUAUUGAUUUAGAGUGUAUCCGCAUCUCUGUGGCAUAAGAGGAUGCUAUCAAUUGUGAAAGGAUUUUAAUGUUAUGAUUUGUCUCUAAGGGCUAUAUAUAUACACACACACAAAGUAACAUUCUGACUGCAGGGUAUAGUUUUUUUGCACCUUCAGAAAAAAAUUAUCUCAGCAAAAGAACAUAAUCUGUUUAACAUGCAGUUUAGGAGUAGACUGUAUUUGCCAGGAAUCACAAAAAAAAGAAUAUGAAAAUUAGCCUACUUCCAAAAGUAGAGAGUGUAUAAAAACAGUACCUUUAUUGAAUGCUGAAUACAAUUGCAUCAUUUAGCCUGGGACAUAGCAACAGCCAGUACAGGCAAGAUCCUAAUGCGGUUUGUGCCUCAGAGGCACUUCAGCAGAUAUAUGAGCUCUGAUUAAAUGCCUCUGAGGCUUGAAAUGCGUUAACGUCUUGCCUGUAUUGCCUACUACUUACAUAGCACCAACAAGUGCUACAGUGUUGAAAACAUUGACUUGUAAGUAUAACAAAACUUUAUUUGACAGGAACAAGCCAAACAGUAGGUGCUGAGAGCUACGUCAACAAAUUAUACAUCUUUUAACACUUUAAGGUAUGUAAUUUCCUGACUGCACAGUAUCAGAAAACACUCACGACACAAGACAUUUCUAGUCUAUAUGAUUUUUAUAGAGUGACCUAACUGUACAUUUUCAGGAUUAGUACAUGUAAUCAGACAUUUCUGGUCUAGAUUUAAUGUAAAAUUGUCUCCUGGCUGCAGAUAAUGAAGACAGGCUCAUACAGCAUUACUCCAGGCACCAUGACCACUUCAGUGAUUUGAAGUUACCUUAAUACCUACCUUAAUGGUACCUGGAGUGACAUUGCAAGAUUUUCCUUUUGCCUGUCUGUAUGUUAUUUGAUUUAUUUGAUCAAUCAGGAAUUCCUUUUUUUAUGUCUGAAUAGGUUGUUUCCAAAUGUCAUUAAAGGGUUACCCUCAGCACCAUGACCUCUUCAAUGAUUUGAAGUGGUUAUGGUACUUAAAAUGUGUGUGUAGCAUUGCAGUUUAAAAAGCUGCAUAUACUGAGUUUAACCACUCUGCAGUCAGAGGUGUAACUUUACCUCCAGCAACGUCACUUAGAUGUCAUCAGCCAGCUUGGAAUUAGUGUUCCAGUCUGGCUAAUGUCAGUUCUGUGCAAAUUUUGAUCCACAGAAUCUGAUUAAUUGGCUGAGUGGCACGAUCAGCAUCUGGUUUCUGCAUCUGAUUUCUGGUGAAGUGACCGUGAUACACAAAAUGUGUAAGCACCAUCGUGGCUGUGCCUUCCCACUUCUGUACAUCCCCAGCCUGAAAAUUUUAAAUACACUUGCAAAGUUUGUGCAUAAAUUUCUCCCUGCUUAAUUGUCUUUCUUAAUUUGGCAUUCCUCUGUAAAUAGGCACAGUUUCACACAAUCAUUCAACAAAUCAAAAACUUUAUUCAUUUAUCAUUUGCCACAAAUUGUAAAAUCUUUAAUGUGUUGGCUGCCCCAUCAGUUUGCACAUUAAUGUGAAAACGUCAAGAUAAUGUUGUACAGGUAUAGAGCCGAUUGAUGUAUUAUCCUUUAGUAAUAUGAGUACACCACCAAAUUAAUGUAGAUCGUGAUUGUUGCUUUUUCUUUUUUUAUUAGAAUCUUGUGCACAAAGCACCUGAAUAAACGUUUCAGAAGAUACAGUUUGCCAUUUCUACACUAUACGAGAAAAAAAGACUAAGGAGAGUCAAAGAAAAACUGCCCUCGCGCCAAAGGAGAUUUCAUAAUGGAGGCUAAAUCUAGAUCUGCCAAGACAACUAAAGCUACAGGUGAGAAGAAGGAGAAUCCCACACCGAAGAAGUCCGCAGCCGCCGAGGCUGCAUCAGCAGCUGAAUCAACCUCGGAAAACAAAGGAAAUGUGGAGGAGCAAGAAGCCUCUAAUGGAUCGAAAGAGGGAUCAGGGUUUGAUGGCCUGAAUUCUCUUUUGCUAGCUGCAGGAGUUACAGUAGCUGCCAUUGCUGUUAUUGUAGGGGCUCUGUUCCUGGCCCGAAAAAAAUAAAGCAUUAUGUUGAUGUGAGGGAACAUGCUUGGGGUGGUCCAAACAUGGGCAGAAAUGUACAGUUUCUUCAGAGACCGUCGCAUGCCACAGAGUUGUCACAUAUUCAUCACAUGCAGUCACACAGCUGUUGGGAAGAGGGGCGGGAAAGCUUUAAGGAUUCAUGAGCCAUCAUCAUCUUUUGGAUACUUCAAAAUAAACUCUUGAUCUCAAUUUAGCAAAACAUCACUAUCCAGCGUUAAUUUCCAUUAUAUUAUUUACUAAACCUGGAAUUGUGGAGUAUUUACAAAAAAAAUAAAUAAAAAAAAUGCAAGCUUUAGGCCAAUAUUUUUGAGCUGGUAAAAUAGCUGAUUUGGGAGAUUUUUUCCAGUUUGACUAUUUUGGUCUAAAGUUUGUAUUUCCCUCUUCAGAUCUUCCACCGCUCCUAAGUGAAUUUAACAAAUUAGCAUUACAGUUUUUACAAUAACACUUCAUAUAACCAACAUAUUUAACUGUUUGUUUAACCAAUUGCUUCUCUAUUUAUUUAUUUAACACUAUAUUAUACCACAUUCUCUCGCAUCUCUUAAAGUAAAUUCUCCCUUUUUAGUAUAGAUCUAUUGGUUUUCUAAACUCCUCUUCUGUUUAUCCCACAACUAAUAUUUGCUAGUUAAUAUUUGACUACUUGCUACUUUUUAAAUGUAUUGCUGAUGACAGUGAUUCCCAAUUCAGUCCUCAAGUAAUCCCCUUACAGUCCAGGAUUUAGGGAUAACUCAAUUGUGUCUAAGGUGUUUUAGACACAAGAGGGUAAUCACUAAAUCCUGGACUGGUAGGGGGUACUUGAGGACUGAAUUGGGAACCCCUGGCCUUUGGUUUUAUUUGGAUUUAUAACGUGGGGUACCCAUUCAGAUAUUUUUGUUUCAUCAUCUGAUUUUUUUUUAACUAGUCCUCCUCAGUCAUAUUUUGUGUUGUCUCCUACCGAGGCUCUGGGCCUGUACCAUUCGUCAACAUGUUUUCAUCAAGUUAUCUUGCCUCUAUGCCAUCACAAAACUAUUCCAUAUCACUAACAAGGUUAUUGACUAAAGUGGGAACGGAGUAUUGAAAAGGAAACUGCACAUGUUGAGCCAAAACAACAAGAAAAUAAAUCUUAAAUCCAACCAUUUUCAGCUUAACUGUUUUGGUGUAAAAUGUGCAAUUACUUUGACAAUUCAAAGUUCACCAGAUAACCAAUAUAUCAAUUGUUUAACCAGUUAUAUAAACUCUGUAUUGAGUAUUUUCCAAGCAAAUGUUGGUUUGAAGUUAGAGAAGCAGGGUUUUUGCACUAUAUAAAUGCGUAGAUUGGUUUGUGGCUUGGCGCAUAUUUCACAUUAAAUAAUACUUUGUAGAAGUCGAUAUAAAGAACAGAGGAUCUAUGUGGUUAUUUUAUAUUUUCCAUCUUCGUCUUAAUGACUCCUCAGAGGGUGACCUUUCAUAAUUAAACUGGGUAAACUAUUCCAUCAGUUUCUAAAUAACCUUUUUUUUUUCUUUCCUAGUGAUAAACUAAUUGUGUUGCUCAAACAAUACCACCUUUUCUCUUUUGAGAAUACCUCUUGCUUCAUUUUAAUUGAACUCAAAUCUAAAACAUAUUUUUAAACAAUCCAACAUACUAACUACUUCACCAAAGAGUCUGAUUUCAGGGUAAAUUAUGAGUACACAAAACAAGUCUUCCUAUAGACAGUAAAUUUAAAACUGAUAAGAUUUUAGAUGAGCCUAUAUGAGAUCUGCUUUAUUCAACUAAUCACAUCGUCCGUUGUGUUAAAUUAGUUUUGUUUUUAAAAGGAACACUUUGAGAACCAUAAGUAAUUUAUGUCAAUGAAGUAGUUAUGGUGCUUUGAGUUCCCUGGUUCAGUCUUACUUUAGGAUUUCAAACCAUUUUGAAUGGUUUAAUAGAGAUGAAGAGAUUCCAGGAAACCAUCAGCUUCCUCUUACUUGGUGGUCAGUUAAUGUGGAAGUAUUAGUUCGAGCCAUGAAGGGGCGAAAGUUAGCUUAUGCUCUUGGCCUACCACUGGCUGUCCAUCGCUUGUAAAUGUACGUUCAUUUUUAAUCUGUGGUCGCGAUGGCUGGCCAGUAGUAAGUUGAGAAGGCAGCUGAUGGGCACCUGGAGACACUACUUAUUAGCAAAUUUAAAAAUGGCUUAACUCUGGAAGGUAAGUUGGCAUAAGGGAAUGCCAGGCAGACUGUUCCUUUAAGGAUUACAUUAACAAUCUAUGAAACUAAUCUGUAUAAUGAUAUCCUUAAAAUAAGUUAAUUCCCCUGUUUAAUCAAUAAUAUUAUGCCCCAAAACCAAUCUUAUGUAUCCCUUACUUUUACUUUUCUAAAACAAGUAAAGCGUAUAAAUGCAAUAAUGCAGUUAGAAUAGUAAAAUACAAUAAGAUUUGCAGCCCAUUUUUUCUGCCAUAGCUCUUGUUGAAUAGAAUCUUAAAUAAACAGAAACAACUUUAGCUUUGUUUUCUAGAUCAACUUAAGGUUUCACUGUUUAAAAAAAAAAAAAAAAGAAAAGCUGGCAAAUAAAAUGGGCCCAUAUCUUUUGAGGUAGAUUUAGCUUUUCCCAUUUUAAACAGAAUGGGGACAUAAUGCCUGUUUGUAAGUGUAAAGCAUCCUCCAUUUUAGGCACCCAGUUUUUGAUAGUUGCAUUUGGCAUCCAUGUCAUAGCACGGUUUGCAAGGUGAUGAAGCUAACAAAGAGGCGCAAAAAGCCAUAUUUUUUAAAUUACACUUGAGUAAAAUUAUCUUAAAAAAACAGGACAGGCUUUAGCCUAACCUCAUCUGCUAUUAAAAAAAUUAAAUGAGAAAAAGAAAACAAACUAAACAUGCCAUUGUGGGAUAAGACUAGGAGAACAUUUUGGAUCUCAGAUAAUUAAGAUGUUGAGCUGCAAUUGUUUUUUUUCUCCUGGUGAAAAAAAUAUGAAUACAGCACUAAUGUCAAUGUGUGUUUUCUUUUACUAAAUGGCCAAUGUUUAAACAUUUUUUAUAUACAUAAAAUCUCAUUAAACGAACACUCCAAGCACCAUAAUCACUGCAGCCUAAUGGAGUACCCUGACUCUCUCCCAGAGUAAAUUGUCAAAGAGGGUCCCCCUGGUGCCCACGACACAGUCAGUCUUUCGCAGGAGGAUGUAACUACUUAGCUAAGCAUGGCCCAAGACAAGGCUGCACUCAUUGGCUGAUAUAGCUCAUACACCAUCAGCCAAUGAAAACAGCCUUUCUUAGCUCGGUGGAGCUAACUUGAUUUUCUUUGCAGGAUAAUCGAGCAACGUGCAGUGCUACAAUAGGUUUCCAAGGAGACCACGCAAGUUCUUAAAUUGUUCUUAAUUAUGGUGCUUGGAGUGUUGCUUUAAAUCCUGUGUCUGUGUAGCACGUAAAGAAAAAACACAUGGAAGCGCGAGUAACAGAUAAUCUUGCAGUGAUUAUUUUUAAACAUAUAUUGAUCUGGGGCUGGAACAAGGGUUACUAAACUGUACUGAAAUUUUCUGUAAUCAAAUAAAAAAAAAGAGAGAAACUCAAAGUAUCGUAGAAAACACACAUAUAAUGGUAAAAUGUCUUGUGAUAGCGUUGGUGAUGAUAGAUUUUAGUUAUGCAAUAAGUAUGUAUUCUAUUUGGAAGCAGAUAUUAGCACACAUGGAAAAUGUAUAAAAUAUCUGUCAGGAAGUGGUUAGACAAGACCUAUUAAUGCUUUCGGUUACAGAUUCAAAGGCAGGCGGUGAAAUGGGGUUUAGUCGUCAAAUCCAUAAUUGUGUAGAAUAUCAUGCAUUAAGUCAGACUAUCAACAACAAUUCCUUGUUGAUUUAAUGAAUAAACACUAAUAUUACAUCUCUCACGUUUUGCCACAGCAGAUCUAAGGUGUGUGGUUCUGUGGAUUUUGCAUUGUUUUUGUACUUGGCUAACAGUUGGAUGUUGGCCACUUCUGCACUUAUAUUACCUUGUUUGCUCAGCCUAUAGCAGCUGUGUGUGUUCAGUGAUGAUUUUUUUAAACUUUAUUUCCUGUGUCCUGGAAAAGAGGGACUUAGUGAAGUAUCAUGGGGUGGCAAGACUCAGAAUCCAUACUGGACAGGACUGGCUCAGCUUUUUGAGAAUUCUUGGUAGAACAUCAAAAGAGAGUAAAUAAGGCACAAAAUACAUGCUUUGAGACACGUGUUCUUAAGGUCUGACUAUGCAGAGUUAGUGAUUCUAGAGGGCUGUCUAAGAACCAUAACCUCUAAAAUGUAUUGUAGUAGUUAUGGUGAGCUGGUUAGCUCAGUGCUCUCAGCAUAUUAUUGUCAUGCCAGGUUGAACAGAUUUCCAGUUGCAGUGUACAAUCUAUGGGGGCUGGUGAGUGCCUUUGCCCAUGCCAAUUUGUGCCCUUCAUUGGCCUGUCACCAAAUUGUGAGGUAUGUAUAUGUGCAAUCUUUGUCAGAUUUACAUCUUUUUUUUUUGGGGAGGUUGAGUGCCCCUCCAACCCCCCACCAAAUAAUACAAAAAAAUAAUCCACAGUUGAAAUAAAUGAAAACUUCAUUUGGUGUAAAGUUUUACAAAAGCAUUUUGUGGUUAACUUUUACUCUAAGAAAAGUAUGAUUUUGUAGGGCACAUGCUUUUUGAUAUUUGUAGUCCAAUGCAUAUGAGUUAAGUCAGCAAAAAAGAUAUUGGGAAGGAGGCAAAGUUAAUCUUUGAGGUAAUUUACCUGUUCAGUUAAAUGGGGAAAUACCUAAACGCAAGUCUUAAACUUACUUGCAAACUUGAGUACCAAAUGUACAUUAACAAUAAUGUAUAUGUGGAUAGUACAUAGAGAGACAGUUGAGCCAUGUUUUGUAUGGCACUACUUGCCAUAAUGAAUUGUACCUAAACCAAAAUUUGGGGUAAUGUGAUGGAUAAAAGUAUUUUGUUAAUUAGCGAUCUCAGCAUCUGUCAACCAUUUCUAUGUUUCACAUGUUCUAAAGUAUUUCUAAUAUUAAUAAUUUUAGUUUAGAUGACUGGGGCACAAUUUCUAUAUGUAUUUAGGGGAGACUAUGAGCAAUUACUGCCCUGUUAGAGUAAGUCAUUAUGACCUGAUGUAUAUCUGACCAUAUGUAUGUAUAUCCUGAGUAACCCUAAUACUUACUAUUCCUUUUUUACAUCCCGACCAGCACUCUUUAUUUGGGGCUAGUUUAUUACCUAGUUAAAAUGGCACUGUAGCCCCCCUCUCUCCAAAUUAUAUAAUCUUCAUGAAAUACUCAGAUUGAUGGACUGUGUCAAAAGUUCAGACUGACGGUUUUAGGUAAAUUAGUGAUCUUCAGGAUCUCCCAUAGACCGCAAUGCUGUACACUCGCGCUUGAAUGAGAGUACAAUGCUGACAUCGGUCCCUGGCAGCUGAAAUGCCAGGAGCUGAAUAGGUGGGCAGGAAAAGGAUGGCACCACCGGCGAGGUAAGUAAAGCUAACUUUUGUCUGCUUCACCAGACCCCAACAGUGAUGUCAGCGUCAGGGGUCUUUGCAAAUUAUGCAAAGACUCCAGACAGUGACAGAUCUGUUUUAUAGAUAAUAAAAAUGACUGCAUCUACCCAAAGGCUUAUUUUCAACACAGCAAAAUAUGGUAUUUGUCUAAUUUUUUAAAAAAAAAAAUUGUAUUUCAAGUAAUGUUUUAGUAAAAGGUUCAGUUACAUUUUGGUUUGUUUGAUCAAUAAAAAAUAAAUAUCCUUGAUAACAUUGGGAUUUAUUUACAAAAUACUGAAUUUGAAUAAAUUGAAAACCAGUUUCUUAAAAUUGUGGCUAUGUAGGAGAAUUAUUCCAAAUCAGCAAUUUUGGCUUAAAUUUUCCAAUUUGGUUUUCAAUUCAACAGUUCAAUAGUAAGUGAAUAAACCCCAUAUUAUUUAUCAAUUCAACAUAGUUCAGUAGUUAGUGAAUAAACCCCAUAUUAUUUAAUAAACUUUCCCUGGGUGCACACUAUAGUGAAAUGUGCUACCUCAUCCUAUGAUUCUCAUCAGAUUUAUAAAAAGUUAUGAAGAUCUGUGGAUGUAAAUUCACAAUGUGCCAAGUAAAUAAUUUAACAACUCAGUUAACCCGAAAACAUUAGCAUCAGGUGAAGACUUUAACUAUGUUACAUGCGUCAACUGUGAGGCAAACUAAAAAAGUACAUUUGCAGUGAUUUCACUAUACACAGUCCACCGUAUUUGCGCCAAUGUUUGGGAGGGUGUUUCUUCAGUUUUGUAUGUUUUUCCUGUGGGAAACUGGCUGCAAUGUGCGAAACGGAUUCCUGAAAACCUUCAACUUUUAGCAGGAAUGUGUGGACAUCAAACAUAUGUAUCCAAUAAAAUAUUACAUACUUACAUGCCUGUGUUUAUCAUUUAGAAAUUGCC
rnacentral:lncRNA from 1 species